UCCAAAGUCUCUCCCAGCUCCUGAUGUC
rnacentral:piRNA from 1 species